AGGCCGGUCAUCGGAAUGGGUACAGUUUAAACCCUUUAACGAGUAUCUAUGAGAGGGCAAGUCUGGUGCCAGCAGCCGCGGUAAUUCCAGCUCUCAAAGUGCAUAGAAUUAUUGCUGCGGUUAAAAAGCUCGUAGUUGGAUCUGUGCCAUAGGACGGGGUCUUUCCUAACGGAUUUGUACUUCGCUCCUAGGCUUUUCAGUCGGUUUUCCCGUAAUUGCAUUCAUUUGUCGUUGCGGGUGGCUGACGAGUUUACUUUGAGAAAAUCAGAGUGCUCAAUACAGGCGUCUAGCUUGAAUGAUUGUGCAUGGAAUAAUAGAAAAGGAUUUCGGUCCUCUUUUAUUGGUUUUGUGGACUGAGAUAAUGGUUAACAGGGACAAACGGAGGCAUUCGUAUCGCUGCGUGAGAGGUGAAAUUCUUGGACCGUAGCGAGACGCCCUACUGCGAAAGCAUUUGCCAAGAAUGUCUUCAUUAAUCAAGAACGAAAGUCAGAGGUUCGAAGGCGAUCAGAUACCGCCCUAGUUCUGACCGUAAACGAUGCCAACUAGCGAUCUGCCGGUGGAUUUUUAGCCCUGGUAGGUAGCUUCCCGGAAACGAAAGUCUUCCGGUUCCGGGGGAAGUAUGGUUGCAAAGCUGAAACUUAAAGGAAUUGACGGAAGGGCACCACCAGGAGUGGAGCCUGCGGCUUAAUUUGACCCAACACGGGGAAACUCACCCGGCCCGGACACCGUAAGGAUUGACAGAUUGAUAGCUCUUUCAUGAUUCGGUGGUUGGUGGUGCAUGGCCGUUCUUAGUUCGUGGAUCGAUUUGUCUGGUUUAUUCCGAUAACGAGCGAGACUCUAGCCUACUAAAUAGUAACGAGAUUGCCAUUGUCUUAGUUGCUUCUUAGAGGGAUUUUCGGUGUUUAGCCGCACGAGAUUGAGCAAUAACAGGUCUGUGAUGCCCUCAGAUGUCCGGGGCUGCACGCGCGCUACACUGGCAAAAUCAGCGUGCUGUAUCCAUUCUCGAAAGGGAUUGGUAAACCCAUGAAAAUUUGCCGUGAUUGGGAUCGGAAAUUGCAAUUAUUUUCCGUGAACGAGGAAUUCCAAUAAGUGCGAGUCAUCAACUCGCUCUGAUUACGUCCCUGCCCUUUGUACACACCGCCCGUCGCUGCCCGGGACUGAGCCAUUUCGAGAAGAUCAGGGACCGAUGAAUUGUGGCCUCUUCGCGGAGGUUCGGUUCGUUGGAAACUGAUUUGAUCGCAGUGGCUUGAACCGGGCAA
rnacentral:rRNA from 1 species